rnacentral:rRNA from 1 species
GUAAUACAUGCAAGUCGUACGAGGUUGCAUCCUUCGGGGUGUAAUCUAGUGGCGAACGGGUGCGUAACACGUGGAUGAUCUACCUCUAAGACUGGGACAACUAGCCGAAAGGUUAGCUAAUACCGGAUAUGACCACGACCAGUAUCAUCUGGAUGGGGUAAAAGCUGGGGACCUUCGGGCCUAGCACUUAGUGAUGAGUCCGCGGCUGAUUAGCUUGUUGGUGGGGUAACGGCCUACCAAGGCGACGAUCAGUAGCCGGCCUGAGAGGGUGAACGGCCACACUGGAACUGAGAUACGGUCCAGACUCCUACGGGAGGCAGCAGUAGGGAAUUUUCCACAAUGGGCGCAAGCCUGAUGGAGCAACGCCGCGUGAGGGAUGAAGGUUUUCGGAUCGUAAACCUCUUUGAAGUGAGAAGAACGAUUUAGGGGUUAAUAUCCCCUAGAAGUGACGGUAUCACUAAAACAAGUCACGGCUAACUCUGUGCCAGCAGCCGCGGUAAUACAGAGGUGACGAACGUUGUCCGGAAUUACUGGGCGUAAAGGGCAUGUAGGCGGUUUGUUAAGUCAGAUGUGAAAUCUCUCGGCUCAACCGGGAAAUUGCAUUUGAAACUGGCAGACUUGAGUUCGGUAGAGGAAGGCGGAAUUCAUGGUGUAGCGGUGAAAUGCGUAGAUAUCAUGAGGAACACCUGUGGCGAAGGCGGCUUUCUGGUCCGAUACUGACGCUGAAACGCGAAAGCUAGGGUAGCAAACAGGAUUAGAUACCCUGGUAGUCCUAGCUGUAAACGAUGAGUACUAGGUGUUGGAGGUAUUGACCCCUUCAGUGCCGAAGCUAACGCAUUAAGUACUCCGCCUGGGAACUACGGUCGCAAGACUGAAACUCAAAGGAAUUGACGGGGGCCCGCACAAGCGGUGGAGCAUGUGGUUUAAUUCGAUGCAACGCGAAGAACCUUACCUAGGCUUGACAUGGUAUGAUGCCCGUAUGAAAGUACGGUUUCCCGCAAGGGACAUACACACAGGUGCUGCAUGGCUGUCGUCAGCUCGUGUCGUGAGAUGUUGGGUUAAGUCCCGCAACGAGCGCAACCCCUAUCUCUAGUUGCCAUCAGGUUAUGCUGGGAACUCUAGAGAAACUGCCCCGGACAACGGGGAGGAAGGUGGGGAUGACGUCAAGUCCUCAUGGCCUUUAUGUCUAGGGCUACACACGUGCUACAAUGGCUGAUACAGAGGGUUGCGAGACCGCAAGGUGGAGCCAAUCCCUAAAGUCAGUCCCAGUUCGGAUUGAGGGCUGCAAUUCGCCCUCAUGAAGUUGGAAUCGCUAGUAAUCGCGGAUCAGCACGCCGCGGUGAAUACGUUCCCGGGCCUUGUACACACCGCCCGUCACGCCACGGAAGUUUGUUGUACCAGACAACGGUGAGCUAACCCGCAAGGGAGGCAGCUGUCUACGGUAUGGCAGGUAACUGGGGCGAAGUCGUAACAAGGUA